CAGUCGCCGCGGUAAUACGAAGGGGGCUAGCGUUGUUCGGAUUUACUGGGCGUAAAGCGCACGUAGGCGGAUCGAUCAGUCAGGGGUGAAAUCCCAGAGCUCAACUCUGGAACUGCCUUUGAUACUGUCGAUCUGGAGUAUGGAAGAGGUGAGUGGAAUUCCGAGUGUAGAGGUGAAAUUCGUAGAUAUUCGGAAGAACACCAGUGGCGAAGGCAGCUCACUGGCUCAUACUAGACGCUGAGGUGCGAAAGCGUGGGGAGCAAACAGGAUUAGAUACCCCGGUAGUCCCUGUCUCUAUACC
rnacentral:rRNA from 1 species